rnacentral:rRNA from 1 species
UACGUAGGGGGCGAGCGUUGUCCGGAAUCAUUGGGCGUAAAGCGCGUGUAGGCGGCCCGGUAAGUCCGCUGUGAAAGUCCAGGGCUCAACCCUGGGAUGCCGGUGGAUACUGUCGGGCUCGAGUCCGGAAGAGGCGAGUGGAAUUCCUGGUGUAGCGGUGGAAUGCGUAGAUAUCCGGAAGAACACCUGAGGCGAAGGCGGCUUGCUGGGCCUGAUCUGACGCUGAGGCGCGAAAGCGUGGGGAGCAAACAGG